rnacentral:tRNA from 1 species
AUUCAAAUAGUUUAAAUAAAAUAUUAAUUUGUGGAAUUAAAGAUAUAUUUUAAUAUUUUGAAUA